UUCGUUACACAGCACACUUGGUGUCGAAUCUUGUUCUUCACAAACCAGAGGGUUUUCCUCAGCAACAUCAUUCACACUGCAAGAUUUGUUCCAAUCUUCCAAUUCGCUACAGACACCAGUCACCAAAUCCUGCACAAGCAAACCUUGGGAAGAAAUGUGUUUCUGCAUCUCAGUUAGUUCAUGCUUCAUCUCCACAACUUCCUCUGAAAUUCUGCAAUCAGAGGCAUAUAUAAGUACAUGCAUUGCCCAAGUUAUACAUUUAGAAAGGAAAGAGAUACCUUAAGUACAAUAAAGCAAUGGAACUUUACAAAUGAGGAAAUUAUUUCACAGAACCUGAAUAAAAGAAUCAUAAUAUGUAAUCACAAACUAAAAGAAAAACUCUCCUACUUCAUUCAAGAAAUGUUAGUAUAUUGAUAUGCUUAAUUGCUUAUACUUAAUGGGAUUUCCAAAUUGUACAAAAUUGCACGCUCCAUCACAUCACUGACACAUUCCACUGAAUUUGUAUGGCCAAGGAAACGAUUUACCUUUUUUAGAACGGAGAUAAAAAAAGAUAUGUGCAAAGUACAGCUUUCCAUCCCAAAUUCAACUAACUUAACGUGUUAUAUAAAGCAUCCAAGAUAACUCUUGCCAGGAAGUAGACGUUAUUUAAGCCAUACAUAAACCAGAAUAACUCUUGGCAAGAAAAUAAAUUCAUACACAGACAUCAGUGGUGGACUUAUUUCUUUCAAAACAUAUGCAUUUCAAAUUCAAUUUUGAAAAGUCAAUAGGAUGACUGAUUACCAAAAAAAAAAGAAAAGAAGAGGAA